AUCUGAAACUCCUUUUCCACAAUUGGAAGAAACAGACUUAAAAUGCCGAAGCAUGGUGGAGGUCACAUGUUAGUGUGAAUGAGCUUUGUCUGACUCAUAAUCAGCCAAUUCAUUCAUCAGUGUGAAUGACUGGUUAUCAUACUCUGUUUGGACUGGGGAGGUGGGAGAGGAGGGCAGCUUACAUACAUACUGGUUGGAACCGUAGCUCAUUAGUGGCCUCCAGUCCCUCUUUGCACUCUCAGCUCCUAACCACAGAUGCAGGGAACCCACCACAGCAUCCACUGAGUGAAAACAGAGUUUCACUCAGUACAUAGAUUAUAUCAUUUGCUUCCCCAACAACCCUUUGAGAUGGAGACACUGAGGCUCUGGGAGAAUAAGUGGCAUGCCCAAGCUAUGGAAGGAGUCAGCCAAUGGGCAUGUCUACAACCCAAGCUUCCAACUAGCUCAAAACUACUCCUUCUAUGGCAGCUUAAUGUGUCCCCAGGACUGUGUGUGCGCCUACUGGGGACUGUCUAGACUCCAGGUCUCCGAGGAUUGAUCCUCAGCCACAGUUCUAGAAAAGCUUGAUGUGUACCGGGACUGUGUGUGCCUACUGGGGACCGUCUAGACUCCAGGCCUCCGAAGAUUGAUACUCAGCCACAGUUCUAGAAAAGGAAGCCUCUGUGAACAAGAAACCUCAAGAAUGAAACACUUAAUUAUAACCAAACACAGAGCAAACAAAGGAACAAAGGCUGAACUGGGCUGUUUUAUAUGAAUCCUGCCUACAAAAGGAGCGAGCUUCUUCCAACUUUUGUAAGAGAUCAGUGACAAGCUGGAAUUUUUCAUUUCUGGGCUCAGUGAGAAGUUGCAUUUAAAGAACCAUCCUUCCUUUAUGUUUUAGAAAAACCAAGUGAGUUCAGGCUUACCACCCUGGUGAGCUUCGAGGCUGCUGAAUGUUCUCGGAGCUUUUGUAUUAAUAUAAUUUCAUGACUGGGGAAAAAUAUUUCAGUCAUUUUCCUAACUCUAAUAGUUUCCAUCCAUAACCUCAAAAGGGAAGGUAAAAAAAUGACAAAGGGUGUGAUGAGGAUGUUUCUCCUGAGGCGUGGUUAGCAAUUCUUUGAGCAGUGCCUGCAAUGACGGGGACACAGGGAAGGGCUGGUGUUUACCCUUCCUCACUCUUUAACCUGGAACCUCUUUCGCGUGAGCACCUGUGUGUGUCAGGACUCAGUGCAACCUGCAGAUGUAGAAAAGAGGUUUCUUUUCUUUUUGUGUAAGCUGUCUGGUUCAUGUGAGAAAGUAAUUUGUUUCCUUGGCCUUUAAUCAUGAUUCUGAUGGUUAUCAAGUGUCUAGUAGGAGCCAGGCACUUUACAACUCUCAUCCCUCAUCUUUGCAGCCCCAUCACACAGCUGUGGGAACUGAGGUGAAGAGACUUCAAACGACUGGACCAAAACAAUAGAGCUAGAAUGUGGCAGAUCCAGGCUUUGUGCAAAUUUCCCUCUGACUCUAAAACAUUCUUUCCUUUACACUAAGCUGCCAUGUAAACUCGCCAGCCAUGGUGGAAUAAGGCUUUGGUAAAGUGUAUUCAAAAUACAGAAAUGAGCCGGGCGCGGUGGCUCACACCUGUAAUCCUAGCACUCUGGGAGGCUGAAGCA